AACGAACGCUGGCGGCAGGCUUAACACAUGCAAGUCGAACGCAUCCUUCGGGGUGAGUGGCAGACGGGUGAGUAACGCGUGGGAACGUGCCCUUCAGUUCGGGAUAACCCAGGGAAACUUGGGCUAAUACCGGAUACGUGCGAGAGCAGAAAGAUUUAUCGCUGAAGGAUCGGCCCGCGUCUGAUUAGCUAGUUGGUGGGGUAAUGGCCCACCAAGGCGACGAUCAGCAGCUGGUCUGAGAGGAUGAUCAGCCACAUUGGGACUGAGACACGGCCCAAACUCCUACGGGAGGCUGCAGUGGGGAAUAUUGGACAAUGGGCGCAAGCCUGAUCCAGCCAUGCCGCGUGAGUGAUGAAGGCCUUAGGGUUGUAAAGCUCUUUCGUCCGGGACGAUAAUGACGGUACCGGAAGAAGAAGCCCCGGCUAACUUCGUGCCAGCCGCCGCAGUAA
rnacentral:rRNA from 1 species